rnacentral:rRNA from 1 species
UACUAGAGUAGCACUCGCAUAUCAAUAAGCGGAGGAAAAGAAACUAACAAGGAUUCCCCUAGUAACGGCGAGUGAAGCGGGAAGAGCUCAAAUUUGAAAUCUUAAAGGGUUUCCCUUUACGAAUUGUAGUUUAAAGAAGUGUUCUCUGUUGAGGUUUUGGUAAAAGUUCUUUGGAAUAGGACAUCAUAGAGGGUGAGAAUCCCGUAUUUGACCUUUACUUUCAACUUUGUGAUACACUUUCAAAGAGUCGGAUUGUUUGGGAAUGCAGUCCAAAAUGGGUGGUAAAUUUCAUCUAAAGCUAAAUAUUGGCGAGAGACCGAUAGCGAACAAGUACCGUGAGGGAAAGAUGAAAAGAACUUUGAAAAGAGAGUUAAACAGUACGUGAAAUUGUCAAAAGGGAAGCGUUUGACACCAGUGUUGUUUUUCUGAAAAUCAAUUAAAGAACUGUUUAUGCUAAGUUGUUUAGACUUUAUCAGCUAUCUGCUUAGUUUUGAGCUUUUCUUUAAUGCACUUUUCAGUUAACAAGUCAACAUCAAUUUCUUUUGCUGUAAAAAAGCUUGAGGAAGGUGGCUUGAGAUUCGUCUUAAGUGUUUAUAGCCUCUUGCCUAUGCAGUCGGAGAGAUUGAGGUCUGCAGCGUAGAUCCUUCGGGGCUAAAUGCAUUUGUGCUAAGUUAUAGCAUUUUAUAGACAACUUGUUGACUAUGAUUCGUCUUGUAGCUUACUCGCUUAUGUUAUUUUACCUACGCUUAGGAUGUUGAACUACUGAGACAUAGA